rnacentral:rRNA from 1 species
GAUGAACGCUGGCGGCGUGCUUAACACAUGCAAGUCGAACGAAGCACCUUGAUUUGAUUCUUCGGAUGAAGAUCUUGGUGACUGAGUGGCGGACGGGUGAGUAACGCGUGGGUAACCUGCCUCAUACAGGGGGAUAACAGUUAGAAAUGACUGCUAAUACCGCAUAAGACCACAGCACCGCAUGGUGCAGGGGUAAAAACUCCGGUGGUAUGAGAUGGACCCGCGUCUGAUUAGGUAGUUGGUGGGGUAACGGCCUACCAAGCCGACGAUCAGUAGCCGACCUGAGAGGGUGACCGGCCACAUUGGGACUGAGACACGGCCCAAACUCCUACGGGAGGCAGCAGUGGGGAAUAUUGCACAAUGGGGGAAACCCUGAUGCAGCGACGCCGCGUGAGCGAUGAAGUAUUUCGGUAUGUAAAGCUCUAUGAGCAGGGAAGAAAAUGACGGUACCUGACUAAGAAGCACCGGCUAAAUACGUG